rnacentral:rRNA from 1 species
CAGCAGCCGCGGUAACACGUAGGUCCCGAGCGUUGUCCGGAUUUAUUGGGCGUAAAGCGAGCGCAGGCGGUUAGAUAAGUCUGAAGUUAAAGGCUGUGGCUUAACCAUAGUACGCUUUGAAAACUGUUUAACUUGAGUGCAGAAGGGGAGAGUGGAAUUCCAUGUGUAGCGGUGAAAUGCGUAGAUAUAUGGAGGAACACCGGUGGCGAAAGCGGCUCUCUGGCUUGUAACUGACGCUGAGGCUCGAAAGCGUGGGGAGCAAACAGGAUUAGAUACCCCAGUAGUCCCUGUCUCUUAUACA